CGUUGACUUCUAAAAUCACUGCAGACUGCAGAUCAUGACCUCCAGUGGGUGAAUUUGCGGAGUCAUCUUUAGUUAAUAGUUCAUUGAGAAAUGUGCUCUAUAGUAUGUUCUGCUCUAGUGUUUCACCUCAGAGCGGCGCCUCCUUCCAAUCCCCCACGGCUGCUUGGCAUUUCUGCUGAUAUAGACAGCCAGUCAUCCAUCCAUCCUUCCAGCGAGGCGGCCCCUUAGACAUCCAGCCAACCAGUCUGUUGACCAACCAGCUGACCACCCAGUCGGCCAGAUGAAGAGCGGUUCAGCUAUCGGGGGUCUGGCUUGUAAGUGAAACCUGGUGAACAGAUGAGUUCUUAGGAGACAUAAUAACAAAAGAAACAGAGGGGGAUUUUCUUGACAUGAGCUCAUACUGUGGUGCGAGCGGUAGAGCAAAUGAAGGAGAUAUAAGAACAGAUUAAAAACAAAUGUGUCAAAGUA